UAAGCAAUUAGUGAAAUCGCGUGGCUCAACCAUACGGCUAUUAAUUGAACUGCAGGGCUUGAGUAUGAGAGAGGUGGCUGGAAUUCCCGGUGUAGGAGUGAAAUCCGUAGAUAUCGGGAGGAACACCAAUGGCGAAGGCAGGCCACUGGCUCAUUACUGACACUGAGGCACGAAAGCGUGGGAGCGAACGGAUUAGAUACCCCGGUAGUCCACGCCGUAAACGAUGGAUGCUA
rnacentral:rRNA from 1 species